rnacentral:rRNA from 1 species
UACGGAGGGAGCUAGCGUUGUUCGGAAUUACUGGGCGUAAAGCGCGCGUAGGCGGCUUUGUAAGUUAGAGGUGAAAGCCCGGGGCUCAACCCCGGAAUUGCCUUUAAGACUGCAUCGCUAGAACGUCGGAGAGGUAAGUGGAAUUCCGAGUGUAGAGGUGAAAUUCGUAGAUAUUCGGAAGAACACCAGUGGCGAAGGCGACUUACUGGACGACUGUUGACACUGAGGUGCGAAAGCGUGGGGAGCAAACAGG